AUAUAUAUAUAUAUAUAUAUAUAUAUAUAUAUAUAUAUUACGGAGAUGCACUUGCAUAGCUAGUGACUUGAUCGGAGAUCGUGUGCUGAAACAAAAACAAUUGCAGCAUGGAAGAUGUUUGUAAGCCAUUUAAGCACAC